rnacentral:rRNA from 1 species
AUAAUCCUGUAGUCGAAAAUGUUGUCUCUCUUGAGUGGAUCCUGAGUACGACGGAGCACGUGAAAUUCCGUCGGAAUCUGGGAGGACCAUCUCCUAAGGCUAAAUACUCUCUAGUGACCGAUAGUGAACCAGUACCGUGAGGGAAAGGUGAAAAGCACCCCGGAAGGGGAGUGAAAUAGAACCUGAAACCGUGUGCUUACAAGUAGUCAGAGCCCGUUAAUGGGUGAUGGCGUGCCUUUUGUAGAAUGAACCGGCGAGUUACGAUUUGAUGCAAGGUUAAGCAGUAAAUAUGGAGCCGUAGCGAAAGCGAGUCUGAAUAGGGCGUUUAGUAUUUGGUCGUAGACCCGAAACCAGGUGAUCUACCCUUGGUCAGGUUGAAGUUCAGGUAACACUGAAUGGAGGACCGAACCGACUUACGUUGAAAAGUGAGCGGAUGAACUGAGGGUAGCGGAGAAAUUCCAAUCGAACCUGGAGAUAGCUGGUUCUCUCCGAAAUAGCUUUAGGGCUAGCCUCAAGUGAUGAUUAUUGGAGGUAGAGCACUGUUUGGACGAGGGGCCCCUCUCGGGUUACCGAAUUCAGACAAACUCCGAAUGCCAAUUAAUUUAACUUGGGAGUCAGAACAUGGGUGAUAAGGUCCGUGUUCGAAAGGGAAACAGCCCAGACCACCAGCUAAGGUCCCAAAAUAUAUGUUAAGUGGAAAAGGAUGUGGCGUUGCCCAGACAACUAGGAUGUUGGCUUAGAAGCAGCCAUCAUUUAAAGAGUGCGUAAUAGCUCACUAGUCGAGUGACACUGCGCCGAAAAUGUACCGGGGCUAAACAUAUUACCGAAGCUGUGGAUUGUCCUUUGGACAAUGGUAGGAGAGCGUUCUAAGGGCGUUGAAGCAUGAUCGUAAGGACAUGUGGAGCGCUUAGAAGUGAGAAUGCCGGUGUGAGUAGCGAAAGACGGGUGAGAAUCCCGUCCACCGAUUGACUAAGGUUUCCAGAGGAAGGCUCGUCCGCUCUGGGUUAGUCGGGUCCUAAGCUGAGGCCGACAGGCGUAGGCGAUGGAUAACAGGUUGAUAUUCCUGUACCACCUAUAAUCGUUUUAAUCGAUGGGGGGACGCAGUAGGAUAGGCGAAGCGUGCGAUUGGAUUGCACGUCUAAGCAGUAAGGCUGAGUAUUAGGCAAAUCCGGUACUCGUUAAGGCUGAGCUGUGAUGGGGAGAAGACAUUGUGUCUUCGAGUCGUUGAUUUCACACUGCCGAGAAAAGCCUCUAGAUAGAAAAUAGGUGCCCGUACCGCAAACCGACACAGGUAGUCAAGAUGAGAAUUCUAAGGUGAGCGAGCGAACUCUCGUUAAGGAACUCGGCAAAAUGACCCCGUAACUUCGGGAGAAGGGGUGCUCUUUAGGGUUAACGCCCAGAAGAGCCGCAGUGAAUAGGCCCAAGCGACUGUUUAUCAAAAACACAGGUCUCUGCUAAACCGUAAGGUGAUGUAUAGGGGCUGACGCCUGCCCGGUGCUGGAAGGUUAAGAGGAGUGGUUAGCUUCUGCGAAGCUACGAAUCGAAGCCCCAGUAAACGGCGGCCGUAACUAUAACGGUCCUAAGGUAGCGAAAUUCCUUGUCGGGUAAGUUCCGACCCGCACGAAAGGCGUAACGAUUUGGGCACUGUCUCAACGAGAGACUCGGUGAAAUCAUAGUACCUGUGAAGAUGCAGGUUACCCGCGACAGGACGGAAAGACCCCGUGGAGCUUUACUGUAGC